rnacentral:rRNA from 1 species
UCAAGUGAAGAAGCGCAUACGGUGGAUGCCUUGGCAGUCAGAGGCGAUGAAAGACGUGGUAGCCUGCGAAAAGCUUCGGGGAGUCGGCAAACAGACUUUGAUCCGGAGAUGUCUGAAUGGGGGAACCCAGCCAUCAUAAGAUGGUUAUCUUGUACUGAAUACAUAGGUGCAAGAGGCGAACCAGGGGAACUGAAACAUCUAAGUACCCUGAGGAAAAGAAAUCAACCGAGAUUCCCUUAGUAGUGGCGAGCGAACGGGGACUAGCCCUUAAGUGGCUUUGAGAUUAGCGGAACGCUCUGGAAAGUGCGGCCAUAGUGGGUGAUAGCCCUGUACGCGAAAAUCUCUUAGUCAUGAAAUCGAGUAGGACGGAGCACGAGAAACUUUGUCUGAAUAUGGGGGGACCAUCCUCCAAGGCUAAAUACUACUGACUGACCGAUAGUGAACUAGUACCGUGAGGGAAAGGCGAAAAGAACCCCGGAGAGGGGAGUGAAAUAGAUCCUGAAACCGUAUGCGUACAAGCAGUGGGAGCAGACUUUGUUCUGUGACUGCGUACCUUUUGUAUAAUGGGUCAGCGACUUAUUUUCAGUGGCGAGCUUAACCGAAUAGGGGAGGCGUAGCGAAAGCGAGUCUUAAUAGGGCGUCUAGUCGCUGGGAAUAGACCCGAAACCGGGCGAUCUAUCCAUGGGCAGGUUGAAGGUUGGGUAACACUAACUGGAGGACCGAACCGACUACCGUUGAAAAGUUAGCGGAUGACCUGUGGAUCGGAGUGAAAGGCUAAUCAAGCUCGGAGAUAGCUGGUUCUCCUCGAAAGCUAUUUAGGUAGCGCCUCAUGUAUCACUGUAGGGGGUAGAGCACUGUUUCGGCUAGGGGGUCAUCCCGACUUACCAAACCGAUGCAAACUCCGAAUACCUACAAGUGCCGAGCAUGGGAGACACACGGCGGGUGCUAACGUCCGUCGUGAAAAGGGAAACAACCCAGACCGUCAGCUAAGGUCCCAAAGUUAUGGUUAAGUGGGAAACGAUGUGGGAAGGCUUAGACAGCUAGGAGGUUGGCUUAGAAGCAGCCACCCUUUAAAGAAAGCGUAAUAGCUCACUAGUCGAGUCGGCCUGCGCGGAAGAUGUAACGGGGCUCAAACCAUACACCGAAGCUACGGGUAUCAUCUUAGGAUGAUGCGGUAGAGGAGCGUUCUGUAAGCCUGUGAAGGUGAGUUGAGAAGCUUGCUGGAGGUAUCAGAAGUGCGAAUGCUGACAUGAGUAACGACAAUGGGUGUGAAAAACACCCACGCCGAAAGACCAAGGUUUCCUGCGCAACGUUAAUCGACGCAGGGUUAGUCGGUCCCUAAGGCGAGGCUGAAAAGCGUAGUCGAUGGAAAACAGGUUAAUAUUCCUGUACUUCUGGUUAUUGCGAUGGAGGGACGGAGAAGGCUAGGCCAGCUUGGCGUUGGUUGUCCAAGUUUAAGGUGGUAGGCUGGAAUCUUAGGUAAAUCCGGGAUUCUAAGGCCGAGAGCUGAUGACGAGUUAUCUUUUAGAUGACGAAGUGGUUGAUGCCAUGCUUCCAAGAAAAGCUUCUAAGCUUCAGGUAACCAGGAACCGUACCCCAAACCGACACAGGUGGUUGGGUAGAGAAUACCAAGGCGCUUGAGAGAACUCGGGUGAAGGAACUAGGCAAAAUGGCACCGUAACUUCGGGAGAAGGUGCGCCGGUGAGGGUGAAGGACUUGCUCCGUAAGCUCAUGCCGGUCGAAGAUACCAGGCCGCUGCGACUGUUUAUUAAAAACACAGCACUCUGCAAACACGAAAGUGGACGUAUAGGGUGUGACGCCUGCCCGGUGCCGGAAGGUUAAUUGAUGGGGUUAGCUAACGCGAAGCUCUUGAUCGAAGCCCCGGUAAACGGCGGCCGUAACUAUAACGGUCCUAAGGUAGCGAAAUUCCUUGUCGGGUAAGUUCCGACCUGCACGAAUGGCGUAACGAUGGCGGCGCUGUCUCCACCCGAGACUCAGUGAAAUUGAAAUCGCUGUGAAGAUGCAGUGUAUCCGCGGCUAGACGGAAAGACCCCGUGAACCUUUACUAUAGCUUUGCACUGGACUUUGAAUUUGCUUGUGUAGGAUAGGUGGGAGGCUUUGAAGCGUGGACGCCAGUUCGCGUGGAGCCAACCUUGAAAUACCACCCUGGCAACUUUGAGGUUCUAACUCAGGUCCGUUAUCCGGAUCGAGGACAGUGUAUGGUGGGUAGUUUGACUGGGGCGGUCUCCUCCUAAAGAGUAACGGAGGAGUACGAAGGUGCGCUCAGACCGGUCGGAAAUCGGUCGUAGAGUAUAAAGGCAAAAGCGCGCUUGACUGCGAGACAGACACGUCGAGCAGGUACGAAAGUAGGUCUUAGUGAUCCGGUGGUUCUGUAUGGAAGGGCCAUCGCUCAACGGAUAAAAGGUACUCCGGGGAUAACAGGCUGAUACCGCCCAAGAGUUCAUAUCGACGGCGGUGUUUGGCACCUCGAUGUCGGCUCAUCACAUCCUGGGGCUGAAGCCGGUCCCAAGGGUAUGGCUGUUCGCCAUUUAAAGUGGUACGCGAGCUGGGUUUAGAACGUCGUGAGACAGUUCGGUCCCUAUCUGCCGUGGACGUUUGAGAUUUGAGAGGGGCUGCUCCUAGUACGAGAGGACCGGAGUGGACGAACCUCUGGUGUUCCGGUUGUCACGCCAGUGGCAUUGCCGGGUAGCUAUGUUCGGGAAAGAUAACCGCUGAAAGCAUCUAAGCGGGAAACUUGCCUCAAGAUGAGAUCUCACUGGAACCUUGAGUUCCCUGAAGGGCCGUCGAAGACUACGACGUUGAUAGGUUGGGUGUGUAAGCGCUGUGAGGCGUUGAGCUAACCAAUACUAAUUGCCCGUGAGGCUUGACC